ACGGGUGAGUAACGCGUGGGAAUCUACCCAUCUCUGCGGAAUAGCUCUGGGAAACUGGAAUUAAUACCGCAUACGCCCUACGGGGGAAAGAUUUAUCGGGGAUGGAUGAGCCCGCGUCGGAUUAGCUAGUUGGUGGGGUAAAGGCCUACCAAGGCGACGAUCCAUAGCUGGUCUGAGAGGAUGAUCAGCCACAUUGGGACUGAGACACGGCCCAAACUCCUACGGGAGGCAGCAGUGGGGAAUAUUGGACAAUGGGCGCAAGCCUGAUCCAGCCAUGCCGCGUGAGUGAUGAAGGCCUUAGGGUUGUAAAGCUCUUUCACCGAUGAAGAUAAUGACGGUAGUCGGAGAAGAAGCCCCGGCUAACUUCGUGCCAGCAGCCGCGGUAAUACGAAGGGGGCUAGCGUUGUUCGGAAUUACUGGGCGUAAAGCGCACGUAGGCGGAUAUUUAAGUCAGGGGUGAAAUCCCGCAGCUCAACUGCGGAACUGCCUUUGAUACUGGGUAUCUUGAGUAUGGAAGAGGUAAGUGGAAUUCCGAGUGUAGAGGUGAAAUUCGUAGA
rnacentral:rRNA from 1 species